rnacentral:rRNA from 1 species
AUUGAACGCUGGCGGCAGGCCUAACACAUGCAAGUCGAGCGGAUGAAGGGAGCUUGCUCCGGGAUUCAGCGGCGGACGGGUGAGUAAUGCCUAGGAAUCUGCCUCGCAGGGGGGGAUAACGUCCGGAAACGGGCGCUGAUACCGCAUACGUCCUGAGGGAGAAAGUGGGGGAUCUUCGGACCGUACGCUAUCAGAUGAGCCUAGGUCGGGUUUGCUAGUUGGUGGGGUGAGGGCCUACCAAGGCGACGAUCCGUAACUGGUCUGAGAGGAUGAUCAGUCACCCUGGAACUUGGCCACGGUCCAGAGUCCUACGGGAGGCCGCAGUGGGGAAUAUUGGACAAUGGGCGAAAGCCUGAUCCAGCCAUGCCGAGUGUGUGGAGAAGGUCUUCGGAUUGUAAAGCACUUUAAGUUGGGAGGAAGCGCAGUAAGUUAAGACCUUGCUGUUUUGACGGUACCAACAGAAUAAGCACCGGCUAACUUCGUG